rnacentral:rRNA from 1 species
GACAGAGGGUGCGAACGUUGUUCGGAAUUACUGGGCGUAAAGAGCGCGCAGGCGGUCGUUCAAGUCGCGUGUGAAAGCCCCCGGCUCAACUGGGGAGGGUCACGCGAUACUGAUCGACUCGAAGGCAGGAGAGGGUAGUGGAAUUCCCGGUGUAGUGGUGAAAUGCGUAGAUAUCGGGAGGAACACCAGUGGCGAAGGCGACUACCUGGCCUGUUUCUUGACGCUGAGGCGCGAAAGCUAGGGGAGCAAACGGG